GGGAGUGGCCCCGGGGCCUUAUCAGCUUGUUGGUGGGGUGAUGGCCUACCCAAGGCGGACGACGGGUACCCCGCCUUGAGAGGGUUUCCGGCCACACUGGGACUGAGAUACGGCCCAGAUUCCUACGGGAGGCAGCAGUGGGGAAUAUUGCACAAUGGGCGCAAGCCUGAUGCAGCGACGCCGCUUGAGGGAUGACGGCCUUCGGGUUGUAAACCUCUUUCAAUAGGGACGAAGCGUAAGUGACGGUACCUAUAGAAGAAGCACCGGCCAACUACGUGCCAGCAGCCGCGGUAAUACGUAGGGUGCGAGCGUUGUCCGGAAUUACUGGGCGUAAAGAGCUCGUAGGUGGUUUGUCGCGUUGUUCGUGAAAACUCACAGCUUAACUGUGGGCGUGCGGGCGAUACGGGCAGACUGGAGUACUGCAGGGGAGACUGGAAUUCCUGGUGUAGCGGUGGAAUGCGCAGAUAUCAGGAGGAACACCGGUGGCGAAGGCGGGUCUCUGGGCAGUAACUGACGCUGAGGAGCGAAAGCGUGGGGAGCGAACAGGAUUAGAUACCCUGGUAGUCCACGCCGUAAACGGUGGGUACUAGGUGUGGGUUUCCUUCCUUGGGAUCCGUGCCGUAGCUAACGCAUUAAGUACCCCGCCUGGGGAGUACGGCCGCAAGGCUAAAACUCAAAGGAAUUGACGGGGGCCCGCACAAGCGGCGGAGCAUGUGGAUUAAUUCGAUGCAACGCGAAGAACCUUACCUGGGUUUGACAUGCACAGGACGCCGGCAGAGAUGUCGGUUCCCUUGUGGCCUGUGUGCAGGUGGUGCAUGGCUGUCGUCAGCUCGUGUCGUGAGAUGUUGGGUUAAGUCCCGCAACGAGCGCAACCCUUGUCUCAUGUUGCCAGCACGUUAUGGUGGGGACUCGUGAGAGACUGCCGGGGUCAACUCGGAGGAAGGUGGGGAUGACGUCAAGUCAUCAUGCCCCUUAUGUCCAGGGCUUCACACAUGCUACAAUGGCCGGUACAAAGGGCUGCGAUGCCGUGAGGUGGAGCGAAUCCUUUAAAGCCGGUCUCAGUUCGGAUCGGGGUCUGCAACUCGACCCCGUGAAGUCGGAGUCGCUAGUAAUCGCAGAUCAGCAACGCUGCGGUGAAUACGUUCCCGGGCCUUGUACACACCGCCCGUCACGUCAUGAAAGUCGGUAACACCCGAAGCCGGUGGCCUAACCCCUUGUGGGAGGGAGCCGUCGAAGUGAUCCGCAUUCCU
rnacentral:rRNA from 1 species